rnacentral:tRNA from 1 species
GGAGAGGUCGCAUAGUGGCCGAGUGCGCUCGCUUGGAAAGCGAGUAUAUCGAAAGGUAUCGUGGGUUCAAAUCCCACCCUCUCCGCCA